rnacentral:lncRNA from 1 species
GGUACCAGCUCAUCGCAGUCGGCCGGUUUUGUAACACCCCAGGUAACCACGUAUCUAGAAUGCCACACCAAAAUACACUCAAAAACUAAGUCCUAAAAUUAUUAGAAAUUUCGGCAGAGUCUCCCCUAAAAAUACGGACAUCACGACAGGCAGUUAUAAGAAAGGUCAAUACCGAUAUAAACCACACAAUCCAAACCAUCCUAGCUCCACAAAUCCCACGUGAAAAAUAAGGAUCAGAACCUUAAAUGACCUUUACAAGUUCUAUGCAAAACUUAUGCUGAGCAAAAAUUAUAGUCUAAAACUAAUUUCAAUUGUGUGCAAUAAUAAUGUGUAGUCCAAGGGUGCUACUCCCGCCCCAUGCCGAUCGAUGUCAUUAGGUACCUAAAAACCAAAUUAAACACCAGAGUGAGUAAAGAAUACUCAGCAAGUACAAUCUUGAACUAGUAAAACAUACGCAUGAUUUAUGCAUUAAGAAACCAACAUGAAGGGUUGGAUUUACUUUAUUUUUAAACCAAAGAAGUCAAAAGAUAGUAGUUCCCUCCCGGGCAGGUGUGAAUAUCCUCUUAGCAUUACCGGUAAGCCGAGCAAGCGUGAUCAGCGCUUCUCAAGGAUCAUGAAUAAAGAUCCAAAUUGCACUCCCAUGGCUACGCAUGGUUCUUGAAUAAUGUAAACAGAACAUCCGGAAUAAUGAAACAUGAAUAACGUCAUGAAUUUGAAUAUGGGUCGAAACACGAAUAAGUAGCAUAACGUCAUAGCCAUACAAUCAGUAAUAACAAGCAAUUGAAUAAUAAUUAUGCAAGUAAAGCCAAACAAAACAACUCAGUUUUGUCCAUCACAUAAGUCCGUCUUGUACUUGCCUUAACUCAUUCGAUACUCCGACUCAACUCCUCCAACGUUGGAACACUCCACACCUGUGGAGCAAAACUACGCAUAAAUCACUAUAUUCAACUAACGAUGGUUACAAGGGAUAUUUACUAAAAUCGAAACCUAGAACAUAUAAACCUUUUACCGAUUUGUAUUAAAUAACCUAUAGCUGUUCCAUUACUGUUUUAUGAGUAACUCACAAACCGUCUAACGGAAACUAGCAAAUAAUACAACUUCGGACAUCUAGACAAAAUUGUCUACAACUUUCAUGUUGAGCAAAAAACAGAUUAUGCCUCUGAAAAUCCCAGAUUAAGGAAAAACGAACUGCUGUCCUGAUUUCUGGACCCGGUCAGCAGUACUGUUUUUGCUGUUUCUCCUAAACCGUUUAUCGGAAUCGAGUGAAACUAGUACCGUUGGAAAGAUAUUGACAAUGACUACAAACUUUAUUUAGGACAACUAACCUGAUUCCUGAUGGUUUAAUACCAGAUUUGAAAAUACGGUUUCAGCCUAGCGUUCAAUAUAAAAUAAAUUCGAAAAAACCGGAAACAGAUCGCCUUAAAUAUAAAUUAGAAACAACUAUAGACUAAAACGGAUUACCUAGCAGUACUAAUGUAUAAGAAAAACGAAGAAUUUGGAAAUAUUCACCAAAUUCCCCAAAUUUCCCUUCUUCUAUCAAAUUUCCCCUUCUUUCCUUCCUUCCUGUUCUUCUCUGCCUUCUCUCCGUCCUUCCUGUUCGUUGCAGGCCAACAGCAGCAGCAGCAGAAACGAAUAUCGGCAGCAACAGCAAGCCGUGCACGACCAGCAAGGAAGAGAUCAGAUCGGCAACAGCAGGGUUCGGCAGCAGCAGGGAAAUUAACAGAAGCAACAGUAGCUCACCAACGACCGGCUGCGGACGACGACGGUUGUGGCGACCGGCGACGGCUGCACCAGCGGCGGCGCCGGCGAAGAGAGGAACAGCAGCGGCAGCGGCAGAGCGCAGGAGGUGCGGCGGCUAGGGCUACAGGAGAAUCGCUCCUGUUUCUUUUUUUUUCGUUUGUUUUUUUUGGUUGGUUAUAUAAAGAGACUAAAUAAGAUCUAACAGCUCACAUCUAUUCAAUCCUCGGGACUUCGUUCGGACUCCGAUUACUAUAAAUUUAUAGUCUAUUUUGCACUGCUCGGCGAGCUCUACGCAUCCACGGUUCCCGAUCGCCUAUACGAACAAUGGUUUAAAAGUUGAACUUUUGCGCGUUUGCUCUAAUAUUCCGCGAGAUAUAUUAAUUUAAAACUCGG